GUUCCCAACUUCCCGCUGCCAGCGUCACUUUUUUUAAGCCGGCCAGCAGCGAGUCUCCACAUCUCAUUUUUCACUUCAUUUUCUGUCGUGCCUUAACUUCUCCAAAAUGAGCUUCAGAAAACUCACCACACAGCAGAUACCUUCUUCCCACUUCUCCUUGACCCGCUCCACACCCCAGCGGGCUGCCAGCAUGUAUGCCAGUUCUGGUGGACACAGCACCCGCAUUUCCUCUGCCUCCGCAUCUUCUCUCCGGUCUGGUGCCCCAAUGACCUCUUCUUCCUCUGCCUUCAAGCUGAGCAGUGGAAUGGGUGGUGGUAUGGGUUCAGGUUUUGGUAAUGCCGGUGUGUCCAUGUCGACUGGUGGUGGUGCCGGUGCUGGGAUCAUGGGCAAUGAGAGGGGAGCCAUGCAGAACCUAAACGACCGCCUGGCUAACUACCUGGAGACGGUGAGAAACCUGGAACAGUCCAACAAGGAGCUGGAGAUGAAGAUCAUGGAGGCUCUGGAGAAGGGAGGGCCCGACGUGAGAGACUACAGCAAGUAUCAACCCAUCGUAGAUGACCUACGCAAACAGAUCUUUGAUAAGAUUACGGAAAACGCUCGUUUUGUGCUCCAGAUCGACAAUGCCCGUCUUGCUGCUGAUGACUUCAAAGUAAAGUUCGACAAUGAGAUGGCAAUCCGCCAGUCUGUGGAGGCCGACAUCGCUGGGCUGAGGAAACUCAUAGAUGACACCAACAUGACCAGAAUGAACAUCGAGAACGAGAUUGAAGCUGUGAGGGAGGAGCUCGCCUUCCUAAAGAAGAACCAUGACAAUGAAGUAAUGGAGCUGAGGAAUCAGAUUUCUCAGUCAGGCGUGCAAGUGGACGUUGAUGCUCCCAAAGGCCAUGACUUGGCCCAGAUCAUGGAGGACGUGAGGGGCAAUUAUGAGAAGAUUGUCAUGAAGAACGUAGAAGAACUUAAACAAUGGCAUGAAAAUAAGAUUGCGGAUGUGCAGGUGGAGGUAUCACAGAACACAGAAGCUCUCCAAGGAGCCCAAAUGGAGAGGGGUGACUUAUCCAGACAGAUACAGACCCUGGAAAUUGAACUUGCAUCCCAACAGAGCUUAAAAGCUUCCUUAGAGGACACAUUACGCAACACAGAACAACGAAACAACAUGGAAAUGGAGAAGUACAACAGCAUUAUUAUCCGUCUGGAAGAGGAGCUGACCAACUUGCGUGCAAACAUCCAGCAUCAGACCCAAGAGUAUGAGGCGCUGCUCAACAUGAAGAUGAAACUGGAGGCCGAGAUUGGCACUUACAAGAAUCUGCUGGAUGGUGAAGCGUUCAAGUAAGAGUUAGGUGGAGGAGAAAAAAGAGAUCCAGGCAAGGUGUUGAUGGUGGUGGAGGCUUCAGGAUGCACUGGAUGAGCUGGCAAGCUAAUUUGGAACAAAGAAUCUGGGACCAUCCCAACAACCCACAACUAUCCAUUAUGGAAAAAGAAAAAUACAUGCUGGUCCAAUCAACUAAAGCCAAUUUUGAACCAAGACCACAUUCUGUGUAAACCGUAAAGGAUUUCAACAAUUCUGAAUAAAGGCAUUCGACCACAGUAAAGCAGGCAGAGCUAUUUAAAAAGCAACCAUUGCCUGAACUGACAGCAAAAUAAAAAUAAAUAAAACCACUUGUUGACCCACA